CUGGAUACGUGUGCACGCGUGAUGGGCACACUCCCCUCUCCGUUCGUCCCCGCGCACUCACUCGUACUUUCUGCCCGUCGACUUGCCGGCUCGGUCUGUUGCGUCACCCGCGGCUGAGGCGCCGACAUCGACGACCAUCAUGGCUCUGCCGGGCGUAUCACAUUAUGAGCGCCUGCCCACGCGUACCAAGAUUCAGUUCUUCUGGAUCUCCAUGCUGACGAUGGGCUUCGCGUACCAGUUUCUCAAGAUGACGGUGCUGCGCGUGCAGCCGAAGCGAGAGGAACAGAUGUACAUGCACAUCCGAAAGGUGUACGGCGACAACAUUCCGGAGGAGCUGCUGCAGCGAGCGAAGCGCCAGCGCGAAGCUCAGGAUGCGCUGACGCUGACGAACAUGCUGCGCACCCCUACACCGGGCCAGACAUCGAACGCGCUGCAGAACGAUCUCGACCCUCGAGCCCUCAUCAAACUCAAGAGCUGGAACGGGCAUUAGCCCACUGUACCCCUCUUCCCACCCCUCCUUCUCCAUGCUACUCUUCGGGUUGGUAAGGCGCGACACACGCGCACGUGUGCUCUCCUCUCCCACCCUCCCUACCCUGCACCACAGCUCUGGUCCUCACAGUGCUGCCGUGAAACUUCGUAUAACACGCAAAUGAACUGAAGCAAGAGCACAUAACAGAAACCGGAGCCAAGGUGCAUGCUUUCGCGGCGAAGCCCCCCCCCCCCCCUCUCCCUCUCCCCCUGUGUGUUCGUGUCUGCGGGUAUGUAGUCCGGCGGAGCGGCACUCGAGAGACAUGAGAAGGGCAUCGGCUGCCAGCUGGAUCUCUGUCACCUCCCCGCCCCAUCACACACGACGGGCCUUAUCUUACCCCCAUCGCCCCUCCUUCCCCCUCCAUUUGUCUGAUCGUGUGUGCUUGCAUGCGUGCGUGCGCGCCCGCUCCGACGCGCACCGACGCACACCACUGCUGGCAAUGCCACGCUGAGUCUGCGUAUCGCUCCUCCACCCCCUCCCCCCUUCUCCUCGCUUGAAUUUCGGCUGCGCGCUUGCGAUCGCGCUCUUUGCGCAUCUCAUGCGGCGUGCAG
rnacentral:misc_RNA from 1 species